GAUGAACGCUAGCUACAGGCUUAACACAUGCAAGUCGAGGGGCAGCGGGAUUGAAGCUUGCUUCAAUUGCCGGCGACCGGCGCACGGGUGAGUAACGCGUAUCCAACCUUCCGUACACUCAGGGAUAGCCUUUCGAAAAGAAAGAUUAAUACCUGAUGGUAUCUUAAGCACACAUGUAAUUAAGAUUAAAGAUUUAUCGGUGUACGAUGGGGAUGCGUUCCAUUAGGUAGUAGGCGGGGUAACGGCCCACCUAGCCAACGAUGGAUAGGGGUUCUGAGAGGAAGGUCCCCCACAUUGGAACUGAGACACGGUCCAAACUCCUACGGGAGGCAGCAGUGAGGAAUAUUGGUCAAUGGACGAGAGUCUGAACCAGCCAAGUAGCGUGAAGGAUGAAGGUCCUACGGAUUGUAAACUUCUUUUAUAAGGGAAUAAACCCUCCCACGUGUGGGAGCUUGUAUGUACCUUAUGAAUAAGCAUCGGCUAACUCCGUG
rnacentral:rRNA from 1 species